rnacentral:rRNA from 1 species
UACGUAGGAGGCGAGCGUUGUCCGGAAUUACUGGGCGUAAAGAGCGCGUAGGCGGCACGGUACGACCGGUGUGAAAGCCCCCGGCUCAACUGGGGAGGGUCACCGGUAACGGCCGAGCUAUGAGUGCAGGAGAGGGAAGUGGAACUCCGGGAGUAGCGGUGAAAUGCGUAGAGACCCGGAGGAACACCUGAGGUGAAGACGGGUUGCUGGGCCGACACUGACGCUGAUAGCGCGAAAGCCAGGGGAGCAAACGGG